rnacentral:rRNA from 1 species
GAUGAACGCUGGCGGCGUGCCUAAUACAUGCAAGUCGAGCGAACAGACGAGGAGCUUGCUCCUCUGACGUUAGCGGCGGACGGGUGAGUAACACGUGGAUAACCUACCUAUAAGACUGGGAUAACUUCGGGAAACCGGAGCUAAUACCGGAUAAUAUAUUGAACCGCAUGGUUCAAUAGUGAAAGACGGUUUUGCUGUCACUUAUAGAUGGAUCCGCGCCGCAUUAGCUAGUUGGUAAGGUAACGGCUUACCAAGGCAACGAUGCGUAGCCGACCUGAGAGGGUGAUCGGCCACACUGGAACUGAGACACGGUCCAGACUCCUACGGGAGGCAGCAGUAGGGAAUCUUCCGCAAUGGGAGAAAGCCUGACGGAGCAACGCCGCGUGAGUGAUGAAGGUCUUCGGAUCGUAAAACUCUGUUAUUAGGGAAGAACAAAUGUGUAAGUAACUAUGCACGUCUUGGCGGUACCUAAUCAGAAAGCCACGGCUAACUACGUG